rnacentral:rRNA from 1 species
UAAGGAAUAUUGUUCAAUGGACGCUAGUCUGAACCAUCCAUGCCGCGUGAAGGAAGACGGCCCUACGGGUUGUAAACUUCUUUUUUACGGGAAAAAAUCUCCGGUCGUGAAUCGGAGCUGAUGGUACCGUAAGAAUAAGCAUCGGCUAACUCCGUGCCAGCAGCCGCGGUAAUACGGAGGAUGCAAGCGUUAUCCGGAUUCAUUGGGUUUAAAGGGUGCGCAGGCGGAAUGAUAAGUCAGUGGUGAAAUCCUACGGCUCAACUGUAGAACUGCCAUUGAUACUGUUGUUCUUGAGUACACUUGGAGUGGGCGGAAUGUGUAAUGUAGCGGUGAAAUGCUUAGAUAUGACACAGAACACCGAUCGGGAAGGCAGCUCACUAAAUUGUAACUGACGCUCAUGCACGAAAGCGUGGGGAUCAAACA